UCGGUUUUGAAUAUGAAAGUCUUCUAUAUGAAUGUUGGCCUCCACUUUGGAAACCCAGCAAAUCAGCCGUCUUCUCUUGCCUCAGUUCCAGCAGCUUCUGAAGCAGCUCCUGAGGAAGCUAGAAAGAGAUGGAUUCUAAUGCAAUCAUUGAAAAAGUCUCCACAAUUGGUCAACUUUGGGCAAGAACUUACUGGAAUCCUUUUGUCUUACCAGAUGAUGAAAGCCAAAAAGUUCAAAAUGGUGUUCAUGUUGUUCAAUUAACAAAGAACCACACAAUUCUGGAGAAUCAGAACUAACUCCUUGACAUGGGAGUUGUUACCUCAAAUACUUUUGGCAUUUAGAGUGGCUAUAAAAGAAGUAGGUCUUUUUUUCUCAAGGUUUUGGGUAUGUACCUGCAGAUUGCCAUAUUGGUUUGUUUAAAAACAUGGUUUUAUCAUUUCUGUCUGAACUCAAAGAGAAUAAUCUUGCUGGAAUUAACAGAGAAAACGCAAACUAUGAAAUUCUUGAGACACACAUCUGAUUAUGAGGAAAAGAAAAUUAUAGGAUGUUGUUAAUGGGAUCUUAAAUAAAUGGGCUCAAGCACUUUGGAGAACAGGUUGGUAGCACUAUGCAACUAUUUUUUCUUAUAGGUUAAGGUAACAUAAAAAGAACUGUCUAUAAAGGGAAAGCUCAAUCUUGCUGUAUAUAUAGAGAGAGAUAAAUAAAUUAAGUAAUGGUGGUUUAUUACAGGGUGGAAAGCUAAAAGAAUUUGAAGAGCCAACUCUUUUCUUUGCUUACAAGCCUUUACAUCUUUUGUUUCUUUCCUAGAAACAUUUAUCCUCCCAUUGUUGGAUCAUUCUUAUUUUUUAAUGGUCUUACCUCCAAAAGUAAUCUUUUUCUAAAGCUCUCUGUAAUCAUUCUGUUCAUUACCCUGGCAGUUUAUAUAUUCUCAGUUACAUUUACCAAAACAUAUAGUUAUUGUAGUUAUUUUAUUUUUUUGACUGCUUGGUUUUCAUCAGUGUAUAUCCAGUACAUUCAUACUGGAAUGUGAAUUCCAUUUGACCAGAAUCCAUGUGUCUUCUGCAUUUUAUUCCAGUGCCAAGAAGGAACACCAUAAUUACUUAGUUAGUGAAUGCACUGAUAAACAAAUAACUAAAUAUGAAUAUUACCUGGAAUAAAAUUUAAAUAUUUAUCAGUAAUUAGUUCAUUUCUGGAACCUAUUUUUCCAAGGCUAAUUUGAAUAUACUUUCUCUAAUAUCUGUUAAGUAUUUUAUUUAAGUGCAUCAGUCCUGAAAUAAGUUCUAUUCUCAGGAGCCAUUAUCAUCUCAGUACUUCCUUAAUCCAUUUUUUCCCAUCUGUAGUCACUUAAAUAAUUUGUAGCUCUUGUCCAUGUUAAAAAAUUUGGUAACAGCUAUAUCUGUUCUGUCCUGUGUUGUUUAUAGCUAUGAUAUAUUUGUCUUCAGUCUGUUUCACUCUAUUUUAAGUCUCCCAUUUCAUCUCAUUGUUUUGUUUGGUUAUAUAAAUUUUGGCUCUAUUAUAUUGAAUUUAUGUAAAGGUCUAAAUUUUCCUAUAGCUUGAAACAUUUGUAGACUUCAGUGAAAAACCUUCCAUUUCAAAAUGGGUCUUCAAUUCUUUUUUUUUUUUUUUUUUGCUAUUUUUUUCAUUUGACUUAUAUAAUAUCUUUGUGUAGAUGUCAUGUGAUUAAUUGACUUGCAUCUAAUAUGACUAACUCAAUGACCCUUAGUCCAUUUUCCAUAUUAUGUGAAUGAAACUAUCAAUUAUAAUACAAUUCUUU
rnacentral:lncRNA from 1 species